GACGAACGCUGGCGGCGUGCUUAACACAUGCAAGUCGAACGGAAAGGCCCUGCUUUUGUGGGGUGCUCGAGUGGCGAACGGGUGAGUAACACGUGAGUAACCUGCCCUUGACUUUGGGAUAACUUCAGGAAACUGGGGCUAAUACCGGAUAGGAGCUCCUGCUGCAUGGUGGGGGUUGGAAAGUUUCGGCGGUUGGGGAUGGACUCGCGGCUUAUCAGCUUGUUGGUGGGGUAGUGGCUUACCAAGGCUUUGACGGGUAGCCGGCCUGAGAGGGUGACCGGCCACAUUGGUACUGAGAUACGGCCCAGACUCCUACGGGAGGCAGCAGUGGGGAAUAUUGCACAGUGGGCGGAAGCCUGAUGCAGCAACGCCGCGUGCGGGAUGACGGCCUUCGGGUUGUAAACCGCUGUCGCCUGUGACGAAGCGUGAGUGACGGUAAUGGGUAAAGAAGCACCGGCUAACUACGUG
rnacentral:rRNA from 1 species